rnacentral:rRNA from 1 species
UACGGAGGGGGCUAGCGUUGUUCGGAAUUACUGGGCGUAAAGCGCACGUAGGCGGCUUUGUAAGUUAGAGGUGAAAGCCCGGAGCUUAACUCCGGAACUGCCUUUAAGACUGCAUCGCUCGAAUCAUGGAGAGGUCAGUGGAAUUCCGAGUGUAGAGGUGAAAUUCGUAGAUAUUCGGAAGAACACCAGUGGCGAAGGCGACUGACUGGACAUGUAUUGACGCUGAGGUGGCGAAAAGCGUGGGGGAGCAAACAGGAUUAGAAAACCCC